GGCGGCGUAGCCAAGGGGCUAAGGCGGGAGUCUGCAAAACUCCUAUACGCAGGUUCGAGUCCGGACGCCGCCUCCA
rnacentral:tRNA from 1 species